rnacentral:misc_RNA from 1 species
AAGUCGUAACAAGGUUUCCGUAGGUGAACCUGCGGAAGGAUCAUUCAUAAUAGUAAUAUCCAAAUACCCACCUUAUGUGCACUGUACCUUUUUACUUUGGCAUGUUUUAAAAAAGUAUAUUAUGUAUUUAGUAUACUUUUUUACGAAGGUAGUAAAAUAUCUUCGGCAUGCCAGAGUUUUUAUAUACAAACUUACUCUUGUAAUUAUAUUUUUUUGUCUGAAUCUUUUUUGAUAUUUUAAUUCAAAAAAUACAACUUUCAACAACGGAUCUCUUGGCUCUC